UGGGGAAUAUUGCACAAUGGGGGAAACCCUGAUGCAGCGACGCCGCGUGAACGAAGAAGGUAUUCGUAUCGUAAAGUUCUGUCCUAUGGGAAGAUAAUGACAGUACCAUAGAAGAAAGCACCGGCUAAAUACGUGCCAGCAGCCGCGGUAAUACGUAUGGAGCGAGCGUUGUCCGGAAUUAUUGGGCGUAAAGGGUACGCAGGCGGUUUAAUAAGUCGAAUGUUAAAGAUCGGGGCUCAACCCCGUAAAGCAUUGGAAACUGAUAAACUGGAGUAGUGGAGAGGAAAGUGGAAUUCCUAGUGUAGUGGUGAAAUACGUAGAUAUUAGGAGGAAUACCAGUAGCGAAGGCGACUUUCUGGACACAAACUGACGCUGAGGUACGAAGGCGUGGGGAGCAAACAGG
rnacentral:rRNA from 1 species